GUGAGGUAAUGGCUCACCAAGGCGACGACGGGUAGCCGGCCUGAGAGGGUGACCGGCCACACUGGGACUGAGACACGGCCCAGACUCCUACGGGAGGCAGCAGUGGGGAAUAUUGCACAAUGGGCGAAAGCCUGAUGCAGCGACGCCGCGUGAGGGAUGACGGCCUUCGGGUUGUAAACCUCUUUCAGUAGGGAAGAAGCGAAAGUGACGGUACCUGCAGAAGAAGCGCCGGCUAACUACGUGCCAGCAGCCGCGGUAAUACGUAGGGCGCAAGCGUUAUCCGGAAUUAUUGGGCGUAAAGAGCUCGUAGGCGGUUUGUCGCGUCUGCCGUGAAAGUCCGGGGCUUAACUCCGGAUCUGCGGUGGGUACGGGCAGACUAGAGUGCUGUAGGGGAGACUGGAAUUCCUGGUGUAGCGGUGAAAUGCGCAGAUAUCAGGAGGAACACCGAUGGCGAAGGCAGGUCUCUGGGCAGUAACUGACGCUGAGGAGCGAAAGCAUGGGGAGCGAACAGGAUUAGAUACCCUGGUAGUCCAUGCCGUAAACGUUGGGCACUAGAUGUGGGGGACAUUCCACGUUUUCCGCGUCGUAGCUAACGCAUUAAGUGCCCCGCCUGGGGAGUACGGCCGCAAGGCUAAAACUCAAAGGAAUUGACGGGGGCCCGCACAAGCGGCGGAGCAUGCGGAUUAAUUCGAUGCAACGCGAAGAACCUUACCAAGGCUUGACAUGGACCGGAUCGGGCUAGAAAUAGUCUUUCCCUUCGGGGCUGGUUCACAGGUGGUGCAUGGUUGUCGUCAGCUCGUGUCGUGAGAUGUUGGGUUAAGUCCCGCAACGAGCGCAACCCUCGUUCUAUGUUGCCAGCACGUGAUGGUGGGGACUCAUAGGAGACUGCCGGGGUCAACUCGGAGGAAGGUGGGGACGACGUCAAAUCAUCAUGCCCCUUAUGUCUUGGGCUUCACGCAUGCUACAAUGGCCGGUACAAUGGGUUGCGAUACUGUGAGGUGGAGCUAAUCCCAAAAAGCCGGUCUCAGUUCGGAUUGGGGUCUGCAACUCGACCCCAUGAAGUCGGAGUCGCUAGUAAUCGCAGAUCA
rnacentral:rRNA from 1 species